AAAGGAUUUGGUCAGAUACCGCCAACUGUUUUCCAUUUGUUCAGAAGGCUACACUUCCCUCCGCUUUGGCAAAGGACCAGCUCCUAAAUUGCGUGUGUCUGUGUGUGUCCCCACCCAUUUUCUGGGGGUGUCCGCGCUUCUCGGGGAGUGAAAUUGCUCUGGCUGGUGCGUCUGGGCGUUGAGGGUGCCCGCCUGCCAGUGCCGGCUGCCGGAGCAAGAAAGGGCUGCUGAGGAGAGAUGCUGCACCCUGCACCGCGCUGGGCUUAAGGAUUCAGGGCGCGAAGAGCGAAGUCCACCCGGAAUGCAACGCUGCUGGGGAUCCAGGCGUCCCCACCCACUGGGCUCUGCUUCGCGGUCACCCCUCCUCCCGUAGGUUGGGACAGUUG
rnacentral:lncRNA from 1 species